GCAUUUCUAACACUCUCCCAGAUGGUGCCAAUGUUCCUCAUCCACAGACCACAGCUGAAGUAGCAACUAUGUAAACCUCAGGCUACUCAUCACAGUGCAGAGUGAUUUCACCUAAAGGCACAACAGCAGCUGAUUGCCACAAUACAAACAAGAGCCGCCACUUACUGACAGCAGCUACGUGCCAGAAGACAGCUGUCUGCUCACCAAGAAGAGGACCCUCAUCAGACACUGGAUCUACUGGCAUCUUGAUCUUGGAUUUUCUAGCCUCUUUAACUGUGAGAAAUAAAAUGUUUAAG
rnacentral:lncRNA from 10 species